rnacentral:rRNA from 1 species
UACGGGGGGGGCAAGCGUUGUUCGGAAUUACUGGGCGUAAAGGGUUCGUAGGUGGCCAACUAAGUCAGACGUGAAAUCCCUCAGCUUAACUGGGGAACUGCGUCUGAUACUGCUUUGCUAGAGUACAGAAGGGGCAAUCGGAAUUCUUGGUGUAGCGGUGAAAUGCGUAGAUAUCAAGAGGAACACCUGAGGUGAAGACGGGUUGCUGGGCUGAUACUGACGCUGAGGCUCGAAAGCUAGGGGAGCAAACGGG